UCAGUUGCAGGGUUCUCUAGGCAGGCUGGAGUCUAUGGAUUUCUGGAUUUUAAGUGCUUGGAAUUCACUUAAUAGAGGGAUAUUUAGUAGAGGCUGCUGGCUCACUGUUUUUUGGGAUGGUGGGGUACGCUCCUGUUUUUGAGCUAUACUUGAAUCUCUAGAUGAAUCAACCCACUUGUGUAACUCUACAGAGGACUAAAACAAGCUUGAUUGCAUGGUACAUGUGGCUUAACAGCAUAGACGCAGCAUUACCAAGAAACUGAGCAGGGUUGUAUCGGUCACCUCUUUCAUCUGCAAAGGGUGCUUUGUGCAGUCGUGGACAGGGAAGGGAAAUCCUCAUGUCACGGAGCUGUGAGGGAAGGCUGAAAUGCACUGCGCAGUGCAGGACGUCUUGACCCGAGCUGCCUCUGGAGUGACUCUGGUGCAUGCCCAGGGCACAGGCAUGGAAACUUGAAGGAAGCUUGAGGGUGGGUGGCCAGCAGAGGGGACCCUGAGUUGUUUGGUGGACUGUGUUAGUCUGCUUCACUUGUUGGGCCGGCUUUGCAAGCGCCUUGUGACAGCAGAGUACGUCUCCUGCCACGUUUCUGAGGCACGCCAGAUGUCAGCGGUUCCAGUUCCUGAAAUGCUGGAGCUGCUCAGAGCGCAAGAGGAGCUGGGAGUGCGAUGCAUCUCCUUGAGAUGUUAGCCCCGUGACCUUGGCUUGGCACACUGAAUGGCAGUGAUAAGCCUGGAUUGGGAAGGUGAAGAGGAGCCUUGUGCCUGAAGCAAUGUCCUGGCUAGCCUUUGUGUUCCUUGAGUGUAAACCUCUGGAGAAACUUCUAACAGGAAAGAGCUCCUUCUGGGACUGUCCAGCACCCAGCAGGCAGCUUGGUGACUGGCUUGAUCUACUUUCCAGUUGUUAAAGCUGAAACACAGUGUACAACACGGGACUUGACGACCAGAGCUGCUUUUGGCAAGAGAUGUUGUAGCUGGCCUAAGAGAGCAGAUGGAAGCAUCUACCUUGUGGGCAGGUGAGGGGGGCAGAGGUGUCUCUCACAGGCUCAGAGGGGCCAAACUGCACUCUGAAGAGCAGCAUGAGAAAGGCGGACUGCUUGUGAGCUGGAUUGGAGCAGAACGGCCAAGUAGCACAAGGUGACUGUGAAGGGUAUCCAUCUUGCUCUGCAA